GGCGAACGGGUGAGUAACACGUGAGUAACCUGCCCUUGACUCUGGGAUAACCUCCGGAAACGGAAGCUAAUACCGGAUAUGACGUACGGAGGCAUCUCCUGUACGUGGAAAGAACUUCGGUCAAGGAUGGACUCGCGGCCUAUCAGGUAGUUGGUGAGGUAACGGCUCACCAAGCCUACGACGGGUAGCCGGCCUGAGAGGGUGACCGGCCACACUGGGACUGAGACACGGCCCAGACUCCUACGGGAGGCAGCAGUGGGGAAUAUUGCACAAUGGGCGCAAGCCUGAUGCAGCAACGCCGCGUGAGGGACGACGGCCUUCGGGUUGUAAACCUCUUUUAGUAGGGAAGAAGCGAAAGUGACGGUACCUGCAGAAAAAGCACCGGCUAACUACGUGCCAGCAGCCGCGGUAAUACGUAGGGUGCGAGCGUUGUCCGGAAUUAUUGGGCGUAAAGAGCUCGUAGGCGGUCUGUCGCGUCUGCUG
rnacentral:rRNA from 1 species